GACGAACGCUGGCGGCGUGCUUUACACAUGCAAGUCGAACGGAAAGGCCCUGCUUUUGUGGGGUGCUCGAGUGGCGAACGGGUGAGUAACACGUGAGUAACCUGCCCUUGACUUUGGGAUAACUUCAGGAAACUGGGGCUAAUACCGGAUAGGAGCUCCUGCUGCAUGGUGGGGGUUGGAAAGUUUCGGCGGUUGGGGAUGGACUCGCGGCUUAUCAGCUUGUUGGUGGGGUAGUGGCUUACCAAGGCUUUGACGGGUAGCCGGCCUGAGAGGGUGACCGGCCACAUUGGGACUGAGAUACGGCCCAGACUCCUACGGGAGGCAGCAGUGGGGAAUAUUGCACAAUGGGCGGAAGCCUGAUGCAGCAACGCCGCGGGCGGGAUGACGGCCUUCGGGUUGUAAACCGCUUUCGCCUGUGACGAAGCGUGAGUGACGGUAAUGGGUAAAGAAGCACCGGCUAACUACGUG
rnacentral:rRNA from 1 species